GACAGAGGGGGCAAGCGUUGCUCGGAAUUACUGGGCGUAAAGCGUGCGUAGGUGGUUCGUUAAGUCUGCCGUGAAAGCCCCGGGCUCACCUGGGAAUGGCGGUGGAUACUGGCGGACUAGAGUGCGGUAGAGGGUGGUGGAAUUCCCGGUGUAGCAGUGAAAUGCGUAGAGAUCGGGAGGAACAUCUGUGGCGAAGGCGGCCACCUGGACCAGCACUGACACUGGAGG
rnacentral:rRNA from 1 species